UACGGAGGAUGCAAGCGUUAUCCGGAAUGAUUGGGCGUAAAGCGUCCGUAGGUGGCACUACAAGUCUGCUGUCAAAUACUGGGGCUCAACCCUGGAGCGGCGGUGGAAACUGUAGAGCUAGAGGACGGUAGGGGCAGAGGGAAUUCCCAGUGUAGCGGUGAAAUGCGUAGAGAUUGGGAAGAACACCAGUGGCGAAAGCGGUCUGCUGGGCCGGGUCUGACACUCAGGGACGAAAGCUAGGGGAGCGAAUGGG
rnacentral:rRNA from 1 species